rnacentral:rRNA from 1 species
ACUCAAAUGAAUAGACGGGGGCCCGCACAAGCGGAGGAACAUGUGGUUUAAUUCGAUGAUACGCGAGGAACCUUACCCGGGCUUGAAAUGGAGAGGAAUGAUUGUGAAAGCAGUCAGUUCGCAAGAACCUCUUUGUAGGUGCUGCAUGGUUGUCGUCAGCUCGUGCCGUGAGGUGUCGGCUUAAGUGCCAUAACGAGCGCAACCCUUAUUGUUAGUUACUAACAGGUUAAGCUGAGGACUCUAACGAGACUGCCACCGUAAGGUGUGAGGAAGGUGGGGAUGACGUCAAAUCAGCACGGCCCUUACGUCCGGGGCGACACACGUGUUACAAUGGGUGGUACAGAUGGUAGCAACCUGGCGACAGGAAGCCAAUCUUAAAAAGCCACUCUCAGUUCGGAUCGGAGUCUGCAACUCGACUCCGUGAAGCUGGAUUCGCUAGUAAUCGCGCAUCAGCCAUGGCGCGGUGAAUACGUUCCCGGGCCUUGUACACACCGCCCGU